ACGAGAGGGGGAGAGAUUUUUUUGGGCCUUGUGAAAUUAACGUGAGUUUUCUGGUCAUCUGACUAAUCAUGUUGGUUUUUUGUUGGUUUAUUUUGUUUUUAUCUUUGUUU
ensembl:miRNA mir-5549 ncRNA